rnacentral:rRNA from 1 species
GAACGCUGGCGGCAUGCUUUACACAUGCAAGUCGAACGAGAACGGAUUUUAGCACGGUUAGCUCUUUUUGCAGAGUUAAGCGUGCUAAAGUUGUCAGCUAAGUGGCGAACGGGUGAGUAAUGUAUAGCUAAUCUGCCCUUUAGAAGGGAAUAACCACGGGAAACUGUGGCUAAUACCCUAUACUCCAUUCUAACACAAGUUAUAAUGGGAAAUGUUUUUUCGCUAAAGGAUGAGGCUAUGUCCUAUCAGCUUGUUGGUAAGGUAAAAGCUUACCAAGGCUAUGACGGGUAGCUGGUUUGAGAGGAUGAUCAGCCACACUGGAACUGAGACACGGUCCAGACUCCUACGGGGGGCAGCAGUGGGGAAUAUUGCACAAUGGGCGAAAGCCUGAUGCAGCAAUGCCGCGUGGAGGAUGACGCAUUUAGGUGUGUAAACUCCUUUUAUACGAGAAGAUUAUGACGGUAUCAUAUGAAUAAGCACCGGCUAACUCCGUGCCAGCAGCCGCGGUAAU